rnacentral:lncRNA from 1 species
GCAAGCCGACCAUACCAUCUUUGCUGCGGAGGAACCUACAUGUGAAAAAAGAACCGAUCAUACGGAGCCCAAGGCUUGCUGCCUAUGCCAGAUGCUCCUUUCUUUGGAACUACUAGUUAGUCUUGCCUAUGAAAAUAGAAUAGUAAAACAAGGUUCCUGGAGACCGUGAAAAACUUUCAUCUGAUGGGCAUAUCUCUGUAUAGAAACCGGGACUUUCCCCUGUUGGGUGGGGAACAUCUCAAUUGAAAUCGGG